GACGAACGCUGGCGGCGUGCUUUAGGCAUGCAAGUCGAACGCGAAAGCCCCUUCGGGGGUGAGUAGAGUGGCGAACGGGUGAGUAACACGUGGGUAACCUGCCCCUCGCAGGGGGAUAACCGGGGGAAAUCCCGGCUAAUACCCCGUACGCUUGCUGGGGCGCAUGCUCCGGCAAGGAAAGGUAGCUUCGGCCAUCCGGCGAGGGCGGGGCCCGCGGCCCAUUAGCUAGUUGGGGGGGUAACGGCCCACCACGGGGACGCGGGGUAGCUGGCCUGAGAGGGGGGUCAGCCACACUGGGGCUGAGACACGGCCCAGACUCCUGCGGGAGGCAGCAGCCAUGAAGCUUGCGCAAGGGGCGAAAGCCUGGCGCAGCAACGCCGCGUGGGCGAUGAAGGCCUGCGGGUCGUAAAGCCCUGUUGUCGGGUACGAAGGGCGAAGGGUUAAUAGCCCCUAGCCUGACGGUACCCGACGAGGAAGCCCCGGCUAACUACGUG
rnacentral:rRNA from 1 species